rnacentral:rRNA from 1 species
UACGAAGGGGGCUAGCGUUGCUCGGAAUCACUGGGCGUAAAGCGCACGUAGGCGGAUUGCUAAGUCAGGGGUGAAAUCCUGGAGCUCAACUCCAGAACUGCCUUUGAUACUGGCGACCUUGAGUCCGGGAGAGGUGAGUGGAACUGCGAGUGUAGAGGUGAAAUUCGUAGAUAUUCGCAAGAACACCAGUGGCGAAGGCGGCUCACUGGCCCGGUCGCGUGACGCUGAGGUGCGAAAGCGUGGGGAGCAAACAGG